GAUAAGUAUGGCCAGCGAGCGAAGGUUUGCAAGGAGACAGACGAGGGCGAAAUUAAGCCAGGCGGCUUCGCUUUAAAUCCUCGCAAAGCAGAAGGGCCCCUCAUUCUGGCAGCAGGCCUUGGCCAAGGGGCCUUCAGCCCAGACGACCCGGGAAAGAGUCUCCCAAAGCAGAACGCCCGGUCGGACGCCCAGACCAAACGCGGGGGAACCGGAAGGGCGAGGCCUCCACCUUGCCGGGAUUGCUGUCCUUGCCAUUGGACUAUGGCUCCGAUUCGACUCUCAGACCAAGAGCAUCUUCGAGCAAGAAACUAAUAAUAAUAAUUCCAGCUUCUACACAGGAGUCUAUAUUCUGAUCGGAGCCGGCGCCCUCAUGAUGCUGGUGGGCUUCCUGGGCUGCUGUGGAGCUGUGCAGGAGUCCCAGUGCAUGCUGGGACUGGUGAGUCUCCCCUCAGUAUCCCCGCAGCCACCCUGACUCCCACCGCCAAAACCUCAGCAGGCCCAGACCCAGACCCACAGAACAGAUGGAGGGGGAUGGGGUCAAGAAGCUGUCCUCAGCCUGGGCCCCUCCCCGAUGUGAGGUGUCACCCCUCUUCCGUUCUGGAGCCUGUCUUAUCGCUUCCCCUAGGCAACUAAAAGGACUUUGUUUCCCCCUUUUCUUGAGGACCACGUUUGCUUUUUUUCCCUGAAUCCACAGGUACCUUUUGCCUUCUCCUUCUUGUUUCAAAAUCUGUUUUGGUCUUUUCCAAACUCCACGGAGUGGAUUCACUCCCUUUACUUUCCCAAAUCUCGUGUCUUUUGUGAACAAUAGUAGUUUCCUGCUCACUGACUCUUAACUAACGCCUUGUAAAUGCUAGUUCUGGGCUCAGCUGUGCUCAGCUCUUUCCUCAUGUCCGGGCACCUUGCCUCACUGUGGGCUCUGUCCUGGGCUUGGUUAACUGCCUGUUCUGUGAAC
rnacentral:sRNA from 1 species